CAUGCAGUCGACGAGACGGGAUUGCUUGCAAUCCUUAGUAGAGUGGCGCACGGGUGAGUAACACGUAGAUAAUCUACCUUCAAGCCUGGGAUAACUAUUCGAAAGGAUGGCUAAUACCGGAUGAAGUGUUUUGGCAUAAGUUGAAACAUGAAAGGUUGCCUCUUCUUGAAAGCAAUUGUUUGGAGAUGAGUCUGCGGACCAUUAGUUUGUUGGUGGGGUAAAGGCCUACCAAGACUACGAUGGUUAGCUGGUCUGAGAGGAUGAUCAGCCACACUGGAACUGACACACGGUCCAGACUCCUACGGGAGGCAGCAGUGAGGAAUUUUGCGCAAUGGGGGAAACCCUGACGCAGCAACGCCGCGUGAGUGAAGAAGGCCCUUGGGUCGUAAAGCUCUGUCGACAGGGAAGAAAUUACUUUGUAUUAAUAGUGCAUCGUAUUGACGGUACCUGUAGAGGAAGCACCGGCUAACUCCGUGCCAGCAGCCGCGGUAAUACGGGGGGUGCAAGCGUUAUUCGGAAUUAUUGGGCGUAAAGGGCGCGUAGGCGGUCUUGUCGGUCAGAUGUGAAAGUCCGGGGCUCAACCCUGGAAGUGCAUUUGAACAUGCAGUCGCAUGCAGUCGCAUGCAGUCGCAUGCAGUCGCAUGCAGUCGUGAAAU
rnacentral:rRNA from 1 species